UACGGGGGGGUAAGCGUUGUUCGGAAUUACUGGGCGUAAAGGGCUCGUAGGCGGCCAACUAAGUCAGACGUGAAAUCCCUCAGCUUAAACUGGGGAACUGCGUCUGAUACUGGAUGGCUUGAGUGUGGGAGAGGGAUGCGGAAUUCCAGGUGUAGCGGUGAAAUGCGUAGAUAUCUGGAGGAACACCGGUGGCGAAGGCGGCAUCCUGGACCAUAACUGACACUGAUAAGCGAAAGCCAGGGGAGCAAACGGG
rnacentral:rRNA from 1 species